AGACAGUUAGUUUAAAUAAAACCUUUGAUUUCGGCUCAAAAACUUGUGGUUAAAGCCCAUAACUGUUUA
rnacentral:tRNA from 1 species